rfam:Aureimonas altamirensis strain ON-56566 NODE_1, whole genome shotgun sequence.
GGCCCCGUAGCUCAGUGGAUAGAGCACCGGCCUUCUAAGCCGAUGGUCGCAGGUUCGAAUCCUGCCGGGGUCG